GACGAACGCUGGCGGCGUGCUUAACACAUGCAAGUCGAGCGAGAAAGCACUUCGGUGUGAGUACAGCGGCGAACGGGUGAGUAACACGUGGGCAACCUGCCCCAGAGAGCGGGACAACCCGGGGAAACCCGGGCUAAUACCGCAUAUGCCUUCACGGCACGAGUCGUGAGGGGAAAUGGUAGCUUCGGCCUCCGCUCUGGGAUGGGCCCGCGUCGCAUUAGCUUGUUGGUGGGGAACGGCCCACCAAGGCGACGAUGCGUAGCUGGUCUGAGAGGAUGAUCAGCCACACUGGGACUGAGACACGGCCCAGACUCCUACGGGAGGCAGCAGNGGGGAAUCUUGCGCAAUGGGCGGAAGCCUGACGCAGCAACGCCGCGUGUGGGAAGACGGCCUCGGUU
rnacentral:rRNA from 1 species